GGGGUUGUGGCUCAGUGGCAGUGUACUCGCCUAGCAUGUGUGAGGCACUGAGUUCGAUCCUCAGUACCACA
rnacentral:tRNA from 1 species